rnacentral:rRNA from 1 species
UACGAAGGGGGCGAGCGUUGUUCGGAAUUACUGGGCGUAAAGGGCGCGUAGGCGGUCCUUCAAGUCAGGCGUGAAAGCCCCGGGCUCAACCUGGGAACCGCGCUUGAGACUGGCGGACUCGAGUUCGGGAGAGGAUGGUGGAAUUCCCAGUGUAGAGGUGAAAUUCGUAGAUAUUGGGAAGAACACCUAUGGCGAAGGCAGCACUCUGGGACGGUACUGACGCUGAGACGCGAAAGCGUGGGGAGCGAACAGG